GGGUUUAGGAUUUAAAGUUGAUGUUUCGGGGUUUAGGGUUUAGAGUUGAUGUUUCAUGGUUUAGGGUUUAGAGUUGAUGAUUUAUGGUUUAAAGUUGAUGAUAUAAGUUUAGAUUUAAGGUUUAGGGUUUACGUUUAGGGUUUAGAGUUAUGUUUUGGGGUUUAGGGUUUAGAGUUGAUGUUUCGGGGUUUAGGGUUUAGAGUUGAUGUUUUAAGUUUAGAUUAGUUAACCAUAUUUUUUUUUUUGUUAAAGUUAAUCAAAAGGUUAUACAUGUCUUUUACCCGUAAUUAAAGAUGAGGCUAAAAAUGGUUAGUGUAAACAUAAAAAAAUGUACUUUGA
rnacentral:lncRNA from 1 species